rnacentral:lncRNA from 1 species
GUUUAAGAUGUUAAUUUCUUGCAAUCUGUACCCCAAACAAUGCUUAUACAAAUGUUGUCUAGAUGCCUAAAUUUAAAAAGUAAUUGUUGGAUUAUCGUAGAUCCAAUAUAAUACCUAAAACAACAAAUUCUAACAAGAUAUUAUUAUCAAUUUUUUCAAAAUCAAUUACAUACGAUCUAUAAAAUAAAACACGAGCAACAACAUUUACCAAUAAAACAAUAUUCACUCCCGUGUGUUACACGGGGAAUAACCUAGUGUAGUAAUAAAAUAAAACUUUUUGAAGACAUAAAUCACAAUUUCUGGUUAAGUCAAAAAAAUAUUUUUUCACUUCUCUCUCCUAUUAAAUGUUCAUGCUUUCUAUUAAAUGAUAAUGAUUUUAAAUAUCUAAAUAUCUAAAAUAUAAACGUUUUCUUAUUAAAAUUUAUUAAACAUAAGAUUUCAAUUAUAGGGUGGAGAUACAAUAGGAAGUUAAUUUUGUUAGGUAGGCUAGGAAGUGAUCUUGACCAUCCAUUAAGUUAAUCAAGGGCUAAGAUUAAAUCAGGGAAAUUGAAAAGAAAAAAAGAGGCGCGUGAGUUUGUUCAAGGGCAUUCUAAUCAAUACAAGUCAAUAGUUUCUCUCUCCUCCAAUCCCCCCCCCCCCAUUUUUUAAACGUUAAUAACUUUUUUAUACGACAUUAUUUUUUUAUAAAAAUUGCACCAAAAAAACGAGCGUUUUUUAAUCUUUAAAACGAGUAUACUAUUGUUAUAUUUAAAAAAAAAAAAUUUAAACCCAGUUGCUAUAUUUUUUAGAAAAACCACACCAGUUACGUAAAACGCAAUGAAAAAAAAAACCUAAAAAAUGACAUUUUUCUAAAACGCUAUGCCCCAAAAACACAAAGAAAUGACUUAUUUGUAAAACGCAAUGGCCAGAAAACACAAAGAAAUGUCUUAUUUCUAAAACGCAAUAGCCUAAAAGCUCAAAAGAAAUGUACUUUCUAAAACGCAAUGGACUAAAAACACAUAAAAAUGUGUUUUACCUAAAACGC